CGGCGCGGGGUAGAGCAGUUUGGUAGCUCGCAAGGCUCAUAACCUUGAGGUCACGGGUUCAAAUCCUGUCUCCGCAA
rnacentral:tRNA from 1 species